UAGGUAAACCACGGAUUGCUUA
rnacentral:miRNA from 1 species